CGUAACGCGUAUGCAACCUACCCUCAACAGGGGAAUAGCCCAGAGAAAUUUGGAUUAAUACCCCAUAGUAUUACAGAUUCGCAUGUUUCUGUGAUUAAAGUUCCAACGGUUGAGGAUGGGCAUGCGUGACAUUAGUUUGUUGGUGAGGUAACGGCUCACCAAGACUACGAUGUCUAGGGGUUCUGAGAGGAUGAUCCCCCACACUGGUACUGAGACACGGACCAGACUCC
rnacentral:rRNA from 1 species